UUGGGUGCAGUCAGACUGAAAGUCAGUGAAAAAUUAGUGGAAAACGGGCUCACCUGUGAUGGGGGUGUCGCCAGGAGUUCUUUAAUGUUAUUGCAAAAUUAUUAAAGUUUAGUUGAGAAGAGACGGCUGGGACCUGCUUACUUUCCUAAUUUUUGAACAUAAGGCGGAAGUAAGAAGAAUUCGGGUCACGUCAGCAACGCGAAACAGGACACAAAGCAGUUUUUCUGUUGACGAGGGUAAGAGGUGAAAUUUGAGCCCACCGCUUCCUGGAUGGUUGUCUGGUACAGAGCUGCUCCUUGGACCCCCAUUACACUGGAGCUGCAACACUUUUAAGAACCAAUCUGUCUGUUGAUGCUGCAAAAAAAAGACUGAACAAUGCUUACCACGAUUGUUCUGGAUCCCCUUCGCGGUCCAGCUCGGGAGUCGUUCUGUCAAAGCCUUAACCUCUACGCCAGCAUAUCCAAGCUAAACCCGCUUAAAGACUCCGCGCGGCUGACAGUCGGCUGAAUUCAGAUCUCCUUUUAGAUGAUGCUGUCUAUUACUUCAUGCGGACCCCCCAGGACCAUCUUCUUUUAACAGGCCUGUUCAGGGUUCCGACAAAAACGGUGUCACUCCUUGGGACGUGUUAUUGUUGAUUUAUUUUUUUAUGAGAUCUUGGAUGGGCAAUUUCUUUUCUAUUUAAUGACGAAUUUGAGUGUAUCAUGUGCUGUAAAGCGGGUCCUACAUCCUAAUGGGGUACUUUCACAAAUUAAAUUUUUUUUUUCCUUUUA